CCUACGGGGGGCAGCAGUGGGGAAUAUUGCACAAUGGGGGAAACCCUGAUGCAGCGACGCCGCGUGGGUGACGAAGUAUUUCGGUAUGUAAAGCCCUAUCAGCAGGGAAGAAGAUGACAGUACCUGACCAAGAAGCCCCGGCUAACUACGUGCCAGCAGCCGCGGUAAUACGUAGGGGGCAAGCGUUAUCCGGAUUUACUGGGUGUAAAGGGAGCGUAGGUGGCAUGGCAAGCCAGAAGUGAAAACCCGGGCUUAACCCCGCGGAUUGCUUUUGGAACUGUCAGGCUGGAGUGCAGGAGGGGCAGGCGGAAUUCCUGGUGUAGCGGUGAAAUGCGUAGAUAUCAGGAGGAACACCGGUGGCGAAGGUGGCCUGCUGGACUGUAACUGACACUGAGGCUCGAAAGCGUGGGGAGCAAACAGGAUUAGAUACCCCUGUAGUC
rnacentral:rRNA from 1 species